GCGCUCGUAGCUCAGCUGGAUAGAGCACCAGACUACGAAUCUGGGGGUCGGGAGUUCGAAUCUUCCCGAACGCGCCA
rnacentral:tRNA from 1 species